CAAAUAUGAAUGUUGUCCAAACAGUAUCGUUGUUUGGUCAUUAUGUGAGAUUCAACCUUGUAGAAGAUAAAGACCAAAAGAGAAGCACCGCUUGUGAAAUGCCUUCGGAAUCGGGAACGGAGGAUUCUGGCGCUGAAUCUGAUAUGCCUUCCACUUCGCCUGCCUCCUGAUGUCUUUUCCCAGCUACAUGCAUUUCCAGAUCCAGUUCCAGGAGAGGAUGGACAUUAAAAGGGGUUUGAAGAAGUCUAUGGUACAGAUACCACAGAAGAGUAUCGUCCUUCACUACAGCAAAAAGUGCCAGGGCUUGCUGCAAACAGUCAUGGCAUACCCUUUGCUCCUUCUGCUC